rnacentral:lncRNA from 1 species
GAAGCAUAUAACAUCAUACUAGCUAAGCAAGGGGAAAGGUUCCAAUAUCACAAGCAAGCAAUGAAGGCCAUUAUAACUACAUUCUUAGAAUGUGAUCCCUUUCAACAUUUCCUGCACCUCUGCUUCUGCACACUACCACCAAAAGACAAGAAAGGCAAGGAGACGUGACUGGAGCAAGAAAAACAGUGUUUUUCACACAAGGAUGUCCACUCCUUGUUGGGAAUGGCUUAAGAUCGACCUGGGAAAGCAAAACAUCGCCAUAUCAUUUGGAGGAAAGGCACUGGUUGGAAGAGCCUGUUGGCGUGGCAAAGCCAAGGUCUUUAAAGUCCUCAGAGAAGGCAGGCAUAGCCACCACUGGAGGACUUCCUGAUAUGUGGUACAGAGACUGAUGAGGGCAUGGGGUGACAACCUUAGGUGCCAACAGCAAGGGGAUGGAUAUACAGGGUAAAGGAGGCUUGCUGCCAUCCUACGCCUUUGAACGCCACAAAUCAGAGAUGGUACCAUGGAGGAACAUGAACAGGUGAGAGCUGAGGCAUGGGUGCCCACACACAGCCCAAGCCCAGGUGCUAACAGUUGACCAUCAGUAGCCCAGUGCCCCGAAUUCAUCCUGCGCCUGAUUAUCACCCAAAAGCAGUGCAUCGGCACCAUUCUGGUGACUCAAUAUCACACAAUGGCACCAGCCAGCAGGAACAAUCCAAUUGCCAGGCUGCCCUCCUGCACAGAGCCCAAGCCACAGAGCCCUCAGAUAACUCCAUUGAUGCAAAUCUCAGAGUUCCUCAAGGAAACAGGUCAACCCUGCACAUGGAGUGGAGAUUCAGAAAGGCCCCAAAAAGGAAAAAAACAAGGAUCAGUGUCCAUGUAUGUCCCUGUAUGGGGCUGCCAUUUGUCCUAACCACCCUGGGGUCUGCCAUAGCUGAGCCAGCCCUACUGGAAGAGGAUAGUCAAAUAACCUCACUCGUAUUCUUUUGCCACUUACUGUGUUGCCCUAGCUUCCCUCCAGGGGAUCCUCAUUUUGUCCUAGGCUCAACCUUACCUUUGAUCACUUUAGGACUCAGGCACAAGAUUUCACAUUGCUGGGAAUCCAUUUUCAGUCUUUGAAAAGACACAGUGAUUCUUCAGGAAGUUUGUUAUCCCAAAGAUGCAACAGAGACAGAAUUUCCCAGCUUGAAGGGAUUUGAAACAUCCAUAAAGUUACAGAAAUUCAUAUCUGGAGGAGUCUUAACGGUCAUUCAGACCAACGCUUUCUCGGGUAUCUAUAACAUCCAAUGCCCUAGUUUCCCUGCUGUCUUUUUUGGCCACUCCUUUUCAAUCUCCUUUGCAGGCUACCCUUUACAGGGCUCAGUCUCCACACUCUUUUGUUCUAGAUUUUCCCCUGGUGACCUCACCGAGGCCUACAGCUUUAAAUACCAUCCAUAUGCUGAUAAUUCCCAAAUUUAUAUUUCCAGUCCCAAGCUCUCCACUGAGUUUCAGGCUCAUAUAUCCAAAUGUCUACUUCUUGCCUUCAGUAUACCUUACAAACCUCUCAAGUUUGACGUGCCUAGAACUGGACUCUGGAUUUUACCUUUUGCCCGUAUCAACAAGUUCCUCUCUUAGUCUUCCAAUCACAGAAAGGGCUCCACCAUCAAGAUGGACAUGAGCCUAAAACCCAAGAAUUCUUGUUUCCUGCCUUCCUUUCCUUCUCUCACAUUCAGUCUCCUGGUAGACUUGUUCAUUUACUUCCACCAUUUCUAUCUACUUCUUUUCAUCUCCAGUGCCAACAUUCUUGUCCAAGCCAUCACUCUCUCUCCCCAAACCACUCCAAUAGCAUCCUAACUGGUUUUCCCUACCCUUAUCUCACCUCAAUCCAUUCUCUGCAUAUUAGCUGGAGUGAUCCUUUCAAGAAGUGAAUACAAACCUUAAAUCUUUCAACAGCCCUCACUGCAUCCAGAAUAAAAUCCAAGCACCUAUAACUGCCUAAUAUGGCUUCUGUCCACAUCUAACCUCAAAUCUUACCUUCUGCCCUUGCUGUGCUCAAGCCUUUCUGGCCUUUCAUUUCCUUAAACACACCAAGCCUUUCCAGCAUCAGAGACUUUACAAUUCUUCCUGGAAUGCUCUUCCACUAAUUUCUUUAGGUCAUAGUUUGUGGUCAUUUGAAAACAUGUCCACAAAUUCUUUUCUAUCCUAAAAAAAGGGGGAAUCCAAUUCCCCUCCUCUUGAACAUGGACUAGCCUCAGUGGCUUGCUACUAAUGAAUUAAAUGGUAUAGAAGUGACUGUAACUUCUUAGACUAGGUGACCAAAGAUGGCACAGCCUCCACCUGGUUCUCUGUCUUGUGAGGCUCACCCUUGGAACCCAGCCAUCAUGCUGUGACAAAGCCAUGUACCACAUGCAGGUGUUUCGGGGAACAGACCUGUCAGAGGUCCUUGCCAACAGCCAACAUCAGUCAGCAUCAACCACUAGACAUGUAAGUGAGGAAGCCUCCAGAUGAUUCCAGUUCCCACCUUCAGCUGAUGUUAGGUGGAGCAGAGACAUGCUGUCCCCACCUGCCUAAACUGCAGAUUCAUGAGUAAUGUAAUUUCUGUCAUUGUUUUAAGCCAUUAAGUUUUGGGGCAGUUUGUCACACAGCAAUAGACAACUGGAACACAGCUCAUAUGCCCCUUCUCAGAACUGCCCUCCCUGAUCAUCCUAAGUGCCCAUUGGCAUUAUCCAUAACCUGAAAAUUAUUAUGAUUGAUCCUAAAGUCCAGCCUGGUGCCUGGCACGUAGGAGAUGCUCAGUGAAUAUUUGUGGAAUGAUUGAAUAAGGAAAUGAAUCCUCUUGUCACAUUUGAAGUUAUCAGUCAUCAAUAAAAUGGGGAUUUGUUUCAUCGUU